rnacentral:rRNA from 1 species
AGUAUACCAAUUUCCUCGGAAAACGGUAAUAGUGCGUGUAAACAUACUCCCAAGAAAAUCCGCUAAACUUAAUCUUAUAGGUACCCGUACCGUAAACGGACACACGUAGUCGGGUUGAAUAUACUCAGGCGCUUGAGUGAAUCACGGUUAAGGAACUAGGCAAAUUGACCCUGUAACUUCGGGAUAAAGGGUCCCUACCCGGUGACGGGAGGGCGCAGAGAAUAGGUCCAGGCAACUGUUUAACAAAAACACAGGGCUGUGCAAAAUUGAAAGAUCACGUAUACAGCCUGACACCUGCCCGGUGCUGGAAGGUUAAGAGGAGAUGUCAUCGCAAGAGAAGCAUUGAAUUGAAGCCCCAGUAAACGGCGGCCGUAACUAUAACGGUCCUAAGGUAGCGAAAUUCCUUGUCGGGUAAGUUCCGACCUGCACGAAUGGUGUAAUGAUCUGGACACUGUCUCAACCGUGAGCUCAGUGAAAUUGUAGUAUCGGUGAAGAUGCCGAUUACCCGCGAUGGGACGAAAAGACCCCGUGAACCUUUACUAUAGCUUAACAUUGAAUUUGGGUAAUUGAUGUGUAGGAUAGGCCGGAGACUUUGAAGCAGGCACGCCAGUGUUUGUGGAGUCGCUGUUGAAAUACGGCCCUUUGGUUAUUUGAGUUCUAACUCGCUGAUGCGAGGACACUGUUUGGUGGGUAGUUUGACUGGGGUGGUCGCCUCCAAAAGCGUAACGGAGGCUUCUAAAGGUGCCCUCACGCCGAUUGGUAACCGGCGGUAGAGUGUAAUGGCAUAAGGGCGCUUGACUGGGAGACUUACAAGUCGAUCAGGUAGGAAACUAGAGCAUAGUGAUCCGGUGUUUCCGUAUGGAAGGGACAUCGCUCAAAGGAUAAAAGGUACUCCGGGGAUAACAGGCUGAUCCCUCCCAAGAGCUCAUAUCGACGGAGGGGUUUGGCACCUCGAUGUCGGCUCGUCACAUCCUGGGGCUGG